rnacentral:rRNA from 1 species
AGUCGAGCGGAUGAGAGGAGCUUGCUCUUCGAUUCAGCGGCGGACGGGUGAGUAAUGCCUAGGAAUCUGCCUAGUAGUGGGGGACAACGUUUCGAAAGGAACGCUAAUACCGCAUACGUCCUACGGGAGAAAGUGGGGGAUCUUCGGACCUCACGCUAUUAGAUGAGCCUAGGUCGGAUUAGCUAGUUGGUAGGGUAAAGGCCUACCAAGGCGACGAUCCGUAACUGGUCUGAGAGGAUGAUCAGUCACACUGGAACUGAGACACGGUCCAGACUCCUACGGGAGGCAGCAGUGGGGAAUAUUGGACAAUGGGCGAAAGCCUGAUCCAGCCAUGCCGCGUGUGUGAAGAAGGCCUUCGGGUCGUAAAGCACUUUAAGUUGGGAGGAAGGGCUCAUAGCGAAUACCUGUGAGUUUUGACGUUACCAACAGAAUAAGCACCGGCUAACUUCGUGCCAGCAGCCGCGGUAAUACGAAGGGUGCAAGCGUUAAUCGGAAUUACUGGGCGUAAAGCGCGCGUAGGUGGCUUGAUAAGUUGGAUGUGAAAUCCCCGGGCUCAACCUGGGAACUGCAUCCAAAACUGCCUGGCUAGAGUGCG